CCGGACAUAUCACGUUGAUACACCAGUUCUCGUAUAUUCACCGAAGUUAAGCAAUGUUGAGCCUGGCUUGUACUUAGAUGUGUGACUCUUUGUGAAUAGCAGGUAUUGUA